rnacentral:rRNA from 1 species
GUGGGGAAUAUUGGACAAUGGGCGAAAGCCUGAUCCAGCCAUGCCGCGUGUGUGAAGAAGGUCUUCGGAUUGUAAAGCACUUUAAGUUGGGAGGAAGGGCAGUAAGUUAAUACCUUGCUGUUUUGACGUUACCGACAGAAUAAGCACCGGCUAACUUCGUGCCAGCAGCCGCGGUAAUACGAAGGGUGCAAGCGUUAAUCGGAAUUACUGGGCGUAAAGCGCGCGUAGGUGGUUCAGCAAGUUGAAGGUGAAAUCCCCGGGCUCAACCUGGGAACUGCCUCCAAAACUGCAUGACUAGAGUACGGUAGAGGGUAGUGGAAUUUCCUGUGUAGCGGUGAAAUGCGUAGAUAUAGGAAGGAACACCAGUGGCGAAGGCGACUACCUGGACUGAUACUGACACUGAGGUGCGAAAGCGUGGGGAGCAAACAGGAUUAGAAACCCCAGUAGUCC